CAGAAAGCCACCCCUCACCUGUCCAAACAGAACCCGCUGCUUCUCUGACGCCGGCAGAUGCCUCAGCUACAGCCCACCCCUAGGCCAUCAAGAGGCCAAAUUUGCGCACACACCCAUCUUCCCCUAUUGUCUGAAGGCUGUUCUUCUUCUCUCUGCAUCCCCAAUGCCUAAGAUGCCCAGCAGGUAUGUGUCGAACUAAGGAGAGAGUACAUCUGAGGAUGGGAGCGUGAGAAAAGAAAGUGAAACUGUUCAUCGCUCAGUAGUGUCCAACCGUUUUCGACCCCAUGGACUAUAGCCCACCAAGCUCCUCUGUCCAUGGAAUUCUCCAGGCAGAUUCUUUACCAUCUGAGUCACCAGAGAAGCUCUUCUUCCAGAAAACAGGAGAGCAAACUCCCCACGUGAAAGAUGCCC
ensembl:lncRNA